CCCGCCAAAUCUUGCUCUCUCCUCAUCGUCCCCUCUCGCCGCGUUUCUACCCUUCCGAAUUCUCUCGCUACGUUUUCUUGACGCCACCGCUUCCUUCCCGAUGGUGGCGUCGUGCUUGAGGCCCUGGAUUGCCACCGGAGGUUGGGACGCCCUUAGAUCCGAAGGGAACACUUGGGAUUCCGGCCGUCUCCGAGCGAUCUUUAACGCUCGGUCGAGGGUUUACCGCGCCGAGGGAUGGCGACGCGUCGCUUGGCUACUGUAGUUCCGAUCGGCAUUCCAGGAAUGGACUCGCCGGCGAGAAUCAGCGGUUCGUCGAGUGGUUACGACAGGCGUGGCGGUACAUACGGAGGGCACAGUGGGAGCACGUUCGUGGUGGUAAUAUCGGGGGAGAUCGUGGAUGAUUCUGAGUUGGACAGCAUUCUUCAGGUACCUGGUGGUUCUUCUUCUUCUUCUUGGCUUAUUCUUUUGGAUUUCCUUUCGUCGGUUUGAUCUAUCGUCUUUUCUGUGCCGUGGAGCCGACUGUUUUCUAUGACGAUCUAAUUUGGCGGUGCAAGAUUAAUUUACUCUUUUCUAUGAUCAAAUUUGGCGGUGAAAGAAUAGUUUCGUUUUCGUGAUCAGAUUUGGCAGUGAAAGAUUAAUUUAUUUUUUUUUCUUGGUCAUGAAAUUUGGUGGUUAAAGAUCAAUUAAUUGUUAAUAAAUAAAUAUGACUUUUCUUGGGAAGGUAAACAUAUGAGGUAAAAAGCGUUUGAAAAGUUGGGUGGUUCAUGAGCGUAGUACCCAUUUCUUCCUUUAAUCAAAACGGAGUGCAAUGGAGUUUGUGACCCGAUCGUGUAGUUAAUUGCAAGAUCCAACGGCGUGAUCGUUUGUGUUCCAGACGCAAUUGGGUUGGGAGCUUGUGGAAGAAGGGUUUUGGAAAAUAAUGAAUCAUGUAAUCCUAGUCUUACGUUGUGUUAAUUAAUUUAAAGCUGUUUGGGCUUUGAACUAUCAGUUUUGACAAAAUGGAAGCCUCUAAAAUCUGGUGACAGGGAAACCCUAUGUGUUUUCUAUCGUGAGCACCUUUGUUGGGUUCGAGUUCCACCGAUCAAUCAACCUAGACAUUCAAACGCAGGUUCUUUCUUUGGAUUCUGUUCAUGUGGCGGCAUGUGACAUAACAUAACAGAGUAGUUUUGUCCCAAAAGAUGUAAUAGAAAUUGUGACAAAAAAGAGAGAGAGAGAGGAUGUUUCUUGGGAAGCAGAAGAGAACAUCAUAACAUAGUAGUUUUGUCCCAAAAGAUGUAAUAGAAAUUUUGUGACAAAAAAGAGAGAGAGGAUGUUUCUUGGGAAGCAGAAGAGAAGGAAUUCUUGACGGUGGUACAUCAUAACAUCAUAAUGCUUCAAAUGCAGGAUAUUUUCCUCCAUCAUGGCCUCGGGAUCAAAUUUGAUAAACUCUUGAUAGAAAGCGGGAGGAACAUUUGUUUUGAUCCAUAAGUUUUUAGCAAAAUUCUUCUUUCUUUGGCUUCCAUGAUAUUAAUAAUUUGUUUGAUGGCUUUUGUUACUAACGUAAUUUUUUGUAUGCUUGCUCUGAAGGAUUUCUUUUUUUUUUUUGUUUAAAGUUUUAGUAAACCUGGGCGUUUAUUUGGCUUAUUUUAAGGUUGACUCUGUGUUUUAUUAUUAUUAUUAUUAUUAUUAUUAUUAUUAUUAUUAUUAUUAUUAUUAUUAUUAUUAUUAUUAUUAUUAUUAUUAUCAUUGGACUCAUGCUCCUUGUUCUUUUGACACCAUUAUUUCAUUUAUGGGCAUCAUAGGAGAUGUGGCUUAUAAAGCCCAAUAUGAGGAGCCAUCAUGUUUUCUUUAAUUAUUUUUUUUUCAGAAAAAAAAAAGAUAGUUGUUAGCCUUUGGUUUUGCUAGUAUACUUAGGGAAAGUAGGGGUCGACUGAAUGUUAGUAUACUUUGGUUUUGCUUCCUCCUUCAGAAAUCAUAUAGUUGGCAACCUAGUUGUUGCAACUCAGCAGAUAGGAUGAUAGGUUAACGAUUUAAAUUGGUAAUAGAUUUAAUCCUAACUUAUGUGCGUUUCAACCAAACAAAAAAUACUGCAUUGCAACUAUACAUGAGUCACGAAUGAUUCUUUUACUUUCUUCUAAGGAACUUUUUAAUUAAGGUGCAAAUUCAUUCCUAAAGGAACUCUUUUAACUAUUUAUUGCACAUGAGGUGUCACAGUUGCCCUAUGCUGUUCAUAAGACCAUAUUAUCUUAGCUUGGAAGUGUUUUGGAUAAGUUUUGAACUGCAAGUAUAUGCCGAUGUUCUUUUUUUUUUCUGAAUGGAUUAAUUCUUAGUUUUUGUUUUUUUGGUUCAUGCAGUUACAUUUUAUCGCAUGACAUGUUAGAUAAUAUUUGCUAUCUCGGGUUUUUGUAAGGGUCGUCCCUCUAUGCUAUGUCUUAUUUCUUAUUUUUGGUUCAUCCAUGUUUUAUUUCUGUGCGUAUUUUGUCAAAAAUCGAGAGUUGUGGCGACACAAAAGCUUCCAGAAUAUGACAUGCAGGGCCAGGGGAGUGACACAGUCGGUCGCAAAUGACAUGUUUGUUCUCUCACUUUUCCUUCUCGUCUUAUAAAGUACUAACAUGAAUAAGGGCGUCCCAUUAGUUUUCUGCUGCAAAGUGGAUGACAGGGAUUUGCAAGUGAACGGUCGGAGUUGGCUGCUGCGGCAUACGUUUGCUAUGAAGUGUGUACACUUUUUAUGUGAUAAAAAAAUCAAUCCUACAAAAUUUUAGCAAACUUUCAAUUUACUGUUUUUCAUGCAAACUUGAACUUCGUAAGUCUGUGACUUUAAAACUUGAAUUUAAUAUUUAUAAAAUAAAAACUUUAAAAUACUUAAAUUGUCAAAAUCAAACAAGUUUAUACUAAAAUUUAUUUACACAAAAAAAUAAUUAUUUACAUAAUUUAUACAUUCAAUAAAAUAUUGUUUUAUGUAUUUUGAAUAAAAAGUUGGAAGUUCUCUAUUUAAAAAACCAGAACCAAAUUGAAUAAAGUGGAACAGCAACGCAGUCUCAAUCUUUUUUUUUUUGUUCCUCGUCAAUAGAUCAAUAAAAAAUUAUUCAAAUUCCUUAUAAGAUUUUCUAAUAAUUUAUGGACGAAAAAAUCAAUUUUGAAGGGCAAAAUUAAAAAGAAAAAAAAAAGUUUUUCCGAAAAUUUACCUAAUGUUCAGGAAGGAAAUAAAGAAACAUCUAAACAGCUUUUUACAACACAUAAUUCCUUGGGUGUGUUAAAAGCUCGCGAUGGUCGGGUGACAGCGCUGGGCGAGCAGUCUGUGUCUGCGUCCUCAUCAAGUAAAAAGCACGGGCAAGUUGAUCUUAAAAAACCAGCGACGAAGUCUUCUUCCAAGAGGUGCCACAGAAACCUGUAACCUGUUCACUCGCUUCAAAUAAAAUUUUAAUUUACCUUUCAUUUCUUUCUUCAAAGAAAAAAAUGCUAAAAUUUCGAGCCUAUCGUAUGAUAGCCUUUGUACGUAGUCUAGUUGUAAUGCCCAUUGUCAUCUUUAGCACAUUUUAUCUUUUACAUUUUUUGAUUCUAUAUUAAAGUUUAUCAACUCUUAUUUCUUCAAGGAUGCACGGUCACCGGAUAAAAAUUGUGAAGCACUCAAAUUAAUUCAAAUUAACUGGGAAAAGAACCUCAACCAUUGUUUACAAAAUUGAUUCAAACUAAAUCAAUAGAUGAUGAAGAUGUAAAUUAUUUACAAAAUUGUUUGCUACACAUAAAAAAAAAAAAUAGAACCUCAACCUUAAGUUAAACUAAAUGCACACAGUUUUGUAAACGCAUUUUCUAUUUACCAACUGGUUUUCUCUUCCCAUAAGCACACAAAUACCCAAAGAAUACCACUGCAUACAUCUAUUGGCAGGCAUUACAAUCCUUUCUUGUGUGUGUGCGUGUAUUGUGAGUUCCAUUGCAGAACAAACUUACUUGUUUUGACAAUAAGAUUCACCAAAUUAAAGAUCAUUUCAAGAGGAAUAUUCUGCUUUUGUCUAGUUCUAACAUGAAAAUGACUAGGUGAUAUAACAUAUCUAUAAUCCUUGUAGCAACUAAGAUGAAAAAUGCCUUCAUAAUCAGUUAGUAAAUUCAUUAAUGUUUUAUCGUCAAAAUAUGGUCAUCAUUUUCUAACUCAUGUUAUAUUCAGAUAAGCUUAGAUGGCACCUUUUACCUUCUCCUCGUUAAUCAGCUCUACUUCUAGGUGUUAGUACCUGAAGCACAAUUUCCCUAUAUUUAUUAUGCACUAUGUACAAGAGCAAUAUGUGUAACAAUAAUAUCCUUACUAAAAUGAACUGCAUAAUAUAAGAAAAUACUUGUAAAAAAAUGACAUAAGCAGCAGCAUUGGUCAUUUAAGUCAUAAUAGAAUACAGCAAUGAAGCAUAGAGAAACCUAGAGGUCAAAGAACGAGACAUCUACGUGUAAAUUCAUUCCGAGAAAGUUGUCAAAGAACUUUGGGAAAUUCUAUAAGCUAAAGUCAUGUAGAGGUACAAAAUUUUGUAAACAAAAAUUCAACCUACUAAAACAACUUGUAAACACACUAAAUGAAACAUACAAGCUAAGAAGCAUGCAGGGAAAAUCAAAGGUUGUGUCCUGUGUCUAUGAUAGGGUAGGGCUCAAACAAGGAAAAAAGAUGAAGCUCAAAUUGGAUAUCUGAAGAGUCCGCUAUGGUAUUAGUUUCAUGACAUCAGGAAUAUAUAGACAGACUUUAAUCAAGUAGUCUUUUAUGGGUUUACAAUAAAUUCACUAAGAAAAGGACUAAAGUUGAUCGUAUAAGUUCAUAGGGUGUACAAUCACCCAGAUCAAAAAAAUGUAAAUAACUAAAGUUGUUAGAAGGAUAGAGAAUAAUGGCUAAUGGAUUGCAAAAUUAGGAUAUCAAGUUGUUUUAGGAAUUUUAUAGCAAUCUAGUGAAAUGUAUGCUGACAAACAUUGAUCAGCAAUAUAACAGUAAGAAAAGUAUUUAUGGUACACAUCUUAUAUGAAGUUCAGAAACAGAGCAAGUACUGUUGUUCUGCCAUAUAUAUCAACUGUUGGACAGAUUGUUGUUGUAAGAGAAACUAGGCAAAGAAAUAAAGAAGUAUAGAAUUGGAAGUUGACACAGUGUGAGCACCACUAACCCAACAUUAAAAUAAGUAUAAACUAAUGGAAAUACAAUAAAAGAUCAAACAAAUAUCCAAGCAAUAUUAACAAAAAAGCACACUGAAAUAUUGAUGAUUCAAAAAAAGAGGUUCAGAGUCCAAAUAAUAAUUAGGUGAAGUACUUGGAAAUGCUUAAAAUAACACCUAAGCCAUCCUUAGAUAAAAAAACAUUGAUAAAGAAUUAUUAGCACAAAAUGUUGAUAAAAAACAUUGAUAAAAAACAUUGAAAAUUAAAUAUCUUCAAACCAUUCUCCUUUUACAAUUAAAGUGAAGUUGAUUAUUUAUAUCCUCUAAACAGUUUAGCUCCUUAAAGACCAAUAGUGACUCCACAAGAAGAUCACGAACUGUUAUGAACCAAUGAUGAACACCUGUGUGCUUCUGUAAUAGCUUACACACUCAAACCUAAACUUACUUCUAUACUAGCUUAUCUGCUCAGACUAGACUUACUUUUAGCAGGUAUGCAUAUCAAACAUCACUAGGUUCAAACAAGAGAAGAGUAAACAGAUGAUCAUAAAAAGGGAAAUAUAAGAUACAUUGCAGCAAAAAUUACAGACUAGCACAUCAGAAUUUAUGAGCUCAAAAGUUUUCAGCAAGAAUUUAGUAGGAUUAUAUACCAAUAGAAGGAUGAUUACCAUCAUCAAUAUGAGGCAAAGGUCGUCAUGCCGCCAUAAUAGGAGAGCUUCUCCCCGUCGCCAUCAUGAUAACCCUCGAGACAAGAAACACCACGUCAACCACUAUAGUCAAGACAUGGAAUUCAGGAACAGUGAGAGUCAGCACAUCACCUACGUCAAUUGAGAUCUCGAUCGAUCUUUAACGACAUCCAUAGGUCCAAGAUCCUGUAUGCACGUAGCGACAUCAGUUGCCCGCAGGGUCGCAUUCCCAUCCUUAUCAAGACGUGAACCAAGAAACAAAGAAUAAUUAGAAAUUAGAAGACUGACUAGGGCUUGUUGCGAUACGUGUGGAAGCAGAUCUAUGUGGAAUGCAUCUAUGGGUCCAAGAUCCAGUUCCCAUACAUCGACCGAAGAAGUCACGGGUGGCUUCUGCCACGAGUCGCAGAGGCACAGUCCCACACACAAGAAUCAGGAAUCAAGAAUACAAGCUAAGUGUCCAAGAUUCAGUACCCACAAGAUUUUACCCAAGAAGUCUUGGGGAGAGCUUCAGCCACCGUCCAUAGGGGCACAAUGCCACCCCCAUCGACACGUUCCUCCAUCCGUGCAACAGAAUAAUAACGAAUCAAGAUGACAAGCAGAUCUCGACGGUCUGCAUCCGAGCGUCACCCAAAUAGGCACAUCGAUUGGACCAAGAAGAGCCCCUCAUGGGCACAUUCUCACCCUCGUCGACGCGCCAGUCCCGAGGAACAGACGGAAACAGAAGAAUCAAGAAGACAAGUUAGGGUAUGGUGGAGUGCCUGCGGAAGCAGAUCGGGAUGGGUCUGGAUGUCGAGCAGGGCGUCGAAUCCUUGGCCUUGAGGACGUCCUCGUACUUGGCGGGGCGGCGGAGACGCGGGGGAUCAUGGAUCUGUAUGCGAUCGCAGGCGCCUUGAUGGGGCCGGUGGUGGUCACCACCGCGAGGCCCGGAAGAAGGAAGAUCAAUCACGCUGGGCGAAGAGGAGGGAGAAGGAGGAGGACGACGGGAGGAGAAGAGGAGGGAAAGAUCGGAGUCGGCGUCGACGCCGACCAAUAGGUAGGUCGCGAUCAAGUCGAAGGCAAACGUGGGCACGGCAACCAAUCAUUUCGAUCGCAACCGAAUUAUAGGGUCGUAACGACGGUGGGAAUAAUGGAAGGAGGCACUCUGCUCCACGACGUGAUUUAAGAACCGACUUAGCCGACGAGAAGCAGUGUUGGCACACAUCAGCAAUCACGCUUUCCGAUCGGGCUUAAAAAGAAAGAAAUAAGAAUACCAACUAAAAAAAACCGGCGUCGGCGAGUCGGUUCGACCGCGGUUCGUUCCCGAGCCCAUCGAGCCGCAGCCACGCUAUCCUAUUGGGAUUAAAAAGAAAGAAAUACGAAUAAUCGAUGACAAAAAACCGGUGUUGGCGAGUCGGUUCGACGGGCUCGGGAACGAGCCGCACUUGAAUCGAUUUGGUUGGUCACAUGGGUUCAAGCAACAAAGCCCAAAUUGGUUCGACAAGAGCACAACCACGCACUUUGUUGCUCCAAAGCAAUUAUUAGACAGUUGGAGAUGCCAUGCACAACCACGUUUGGUACACAACAGAUGACCACCGAUAUGAAGAACAGAAGCGACCACUAAAGAGAUGACAGAUUCAAACACGACACUUGUUGCUGUUGAUGAUGCAGUAGGUUCCCAUAUGAGCCCACAGAGAGAGAUCAGCCAGAGAAAGUGGAGGGCAUGCAGUGAGAAGAAGCUCAACUCCCGACCUCUGCGAUGCUCUGCAACGCUGGCCUCCACUGCCCAUGCCGCGCUGGUGCUCCACCACCGCCACCACCACCAACGCCACCGAAGCUGGCCCUUGACCUUGUUGAAUUCCCCAUGGUCAUCAUCCCCCGCACCACCUCCUCCAGCUCCGCAUCCAUUGCCUCCUCCUCCUCCUCCUCCUCCUCUUUCUGUUCCUGAAAUAAACUCAGGUAAUCAGAAAGUAGCAAAAGGCAUGAGAACUAUGACGCUAUCUUCAACUCAUCACUCUCGACGAGGCAAACACGAGUCACUGUGUCAGAUAAGACUCGGAAAACAGUGCCAUACGCUGUUCAUGUUCUUUUUCUCUUUUCGUAGUCUUUUGCCCCUUGUUUUAUCUCUGUUUUACCCUUUCGCUGAGAGAUUCUGAGUGUGGGGGUGGUGGAUGGACGCCGCGAGUCAUUCGCUGUCGCCAUGAAAGCCUAAGGGAAUAAUCCAAGCAGAAGCCAUGCGAGCUACCACGGCAAUUCGUAGUAUAUGCAGCCAUAGUACUGGUUUUCGUGGAAGAAAUUACUGGGGAAGUAAAACAUACCGUCGCCGGAGAUGUGUCUGGCUCGGCCGCUCCACUUCCACCAUCGUUACGUGACUGACGUCUCCGGGCUCCGGCGAUGGUGGUGGCGCCCCCUCUGCCGCGGCGGCUAUGUCCUCUUCGGGGCCUCCUGGUUUUGUCCUCCUCUUUGACGAGCAGACGGCUCAGCUUAACGUGCCUCUUCCACGCAAACUCUCUCACUACCUCUGCAGCGAUUACACGCCUCAAACCUCUGAAGCGAACAGGGAAAAGGAAGGAGUACAGAGUAGAGAGAACGACCUUCGAAGCUGAUGAGCCGAUAGACGUGGCCGAUGUGGAGGGCGUCGUCGGGUCGGAGCAGCUUGAGGUGCUUCACGGGCGCCGCUCCGCCGGCGCUGCUACUGCCGCUGCAGCUACGAUAAGCACGGAAGGAGGAGGUGGACGAUUGAAGCGCCGGAGGAGGAAGCCGGGAGGGGUAACCGUCUACGAUCACGGCGACGUAGUGGCCGGGGUUGGCGGCCAUGACCUGACUGGCGCUGAGCGACCAGUACGCCCUCUCCACUUUGCCUCCGGGGUGGUGGAUGACCACCGUCGCGGCCUCCGCCGCCUGGCAAUUUCCCAUCUCUCGUCCUCCUGCAACCUUAUGGAAUCAGUGGCAGUUUGAGAUACAUGGCAGCAUUUAUAGCUUUACGUGGAAAGAGUUCACGUAUGAGGCUUUUGUUGGACGGCAAGGAGGUCUUCACGGGUGCCUAUGGACGACCGAGAUUUUCUCAUGUCUCUAUCGUACGGUGAAGAUCUGGUUUACUUUUGAGAUCAACUCGAUAUUGAAGGUCGACCAUGCCAUGAGAAGGUCGACCAAGAAAACAUUCUUCUAACUACAUACAAUAUUGAAACCACAUUGUGGUUGAGGUAUUAAGAUCACCAACAAAGCUAAGGAAGAUGAAGACAAGUAGGAGAAGGCCAAAAGAGUGGUAGAAUGAGUAAAGAGGGUGCCAAACUUGUUAGGACAUUGGACUGUUCUCACCUAAUGAUCCUUUGGGGUCGUGUACUACUCUAUCAAACUCAUCUUUUGAGCAGGAAACUUGGAAGGGAAACUCAACAGGAAUUUUAUUUCCAGAGAAUUGGAAUGAAGAACACAUCAACAAGACAAAGAAAGAAGAUAGGAAAAGGUGUAGUCAAACUGAUCU
rnacentral:lncRNA from 1 species